GGGACCGAAGCUUAGAAGUGGCACAGUGAGGGCGCACCUGGUCCUCCCUGAAGAGGCUUCAGUUCACGGUUGCAUCCCCACCCCUCAGUUCCGACCAUUUUCAGACACACUGGCCCAGAAACGUUUGUAAUUAAAGGGUUGUUUGAAAGUACAAACCCGAGCAAAGUAGCUCUGUAAGAUUUGCUGAUUGGCUCAGAAGUCAGCUUGCACCGUCUAGCUGCAGUUACUCCCAUUGGCCAAACCUGACCAGAAACCAGUAAGGAAUUCCGGGGAAUGAGUUUCGGCUUCCAGCCCCUACAAUUAUGAAGUAGAGAAGGGAGAGUGUGUGGCUUUAUGCCUACGGAAAAAUAACUGUUACAGUAAUCUUCUCAGGUAGAUCCUUAAUCACUCUUUGUUUAUUUAUUUAUUUAUUGUCUUUUUAGGGCUGCACCUGCGGCAUAUUGAGUUCCCAGGCUAGGGGGCGAAUCGGAGCUGUAGCCACCAGCCUACGCAGAGCCACAGCUGGAUCUGUGAACUCUAGAUCCUGAACGAGGCCAGGGAUCGAACCCGUGUUCUCAUAGGUACUAGUCGGGUUCUUAACAGCUGAGCCACAACAGGAACUCCGAUCCUUAAUCAUUUUCAAUGAAAUAUAUUAGAUAGAAAAUUACUUCUGAAUGGAUUGGAUAAGUGUAUAGCAAUAUUCACUUUCUUGGCCAUCAUUUCUUUGGAAAUCUUGCUUUGAAGCUUAUUAAGACAGCAGUGGCACAGGACAGACAUAGAGAGCCAAGGAUGGAUGAGAAGGGGAAAAUGGACAGGGCAGAACAGGUCCAAGAGCAGACACAUGGAUAAUCAACUUGAUGAGGAGUUCCCAUCAUGGCUUAGCGGAAACGAAUCUAGUAACCAUGAGGGACGCAGUUUCUUCCCUGGCCUCACUCAGUGGGUUGAGGAUCCGGAGUUGCUGUGAGCUGUGGUGUAGGUUGCAGACACAGCUCGGAUCUGGUAUUGCUGUGGCUGUGAUGAAGGCCAGCAGUUGUAGCUCUGAUUCGACCCCUAUCCUGGGAACCUCCGUAUUCCGUGGGUGCGGGACUAAAAAGACAAAAAAAAAAAAAAAAAAAAAAAAUCAACUUGAUGAAAGGCCAGCAUAAAUUUGAAAAAGACUCAGUCUGUCUAAAAACAUUUUGUCGCUAAAAUUGAGAAUGGAAUUAGGGCAACAACAAAAACCUUUGUUUUUGUCUGAGUAGCAAGAGCCAAUGAGUUUCAUAAGAAGGGGAAAAAUGUCAAGCUUACUAGUUAUAUGCAAAUCUCCUUUUUAAUGGAAGAAAAAUGAGUCAACAAAAAUACAAAAGUUACGUAAAUUAAUUAGCACCUUCAUUGUCUUUAGACAACUGAGUGAAACAGCCUAAGAGAGUUGUCUCCAAAUUAGCUUCCUUUCAUAUUCCACCUAGGCAUAUCCACUAGCAUUUGUAAAAGGUUCACAUUCCCAUCAAUUGAUACCUGCUGUGGAAUUUUUUUUCCUUUAUAUUUCCUCCACUUAUACCUUGAUUCACACAAUUCUUUGUUACAAUUCAUUGGGACUUUGUGGUUUAUAUGGCUCAAAAAUGAGUUAAUUCCUAUUUUGUUUGUUGGCAUAAGAACAUUCAAUGAGUAAUACUGAGCAGGAUGAUCACUCUUUGGGUAAAUGACCGAACUUGUUUGGUUGAACUUCAUUUUCUUAAUGCUGCCACUUGCUGUCCUCAUGAAAUGCAUAUUAUAUAACUAAUGAAAAUUAAUAUAGAAAUAAUAAGAUCAUAUAUAUAUUUACAAUUUUCAUAUAAGUUUGUGCACAAUUUUCUCUAGUUCUCCUGGGUCUGAAGUAGUAAAUCCAUUUCAUAGUUAAUCCUCCUAGGAAAAUACUGGAAAGGUGAAAGCAGUGGAUUAAGUCAUACUGGUUUGUGUAACUUAAACUUAACCCUCUCCCCUCUUGGAGGUAGUGGGGAGAACAUUCUUGACACAGUCACAGAAUACUGCAUAGAGACUCCAAAGGGGUCAUUUAAUUGAUCUUGAUUUAGUUCUAGUCAGGCAGUCUGCACAGGUGUGGCUGUGUUUUUUCUUCAAAUAUUGAAACAUUCCCGUAGGUGGUAGGCAGAAUAAUGGUCCCUAAGAUGUCCAUUUCUUGCACAUCUAGAACCUGUGAACAUGUUAUCUUACAUGGCAAAAAAGGAUUUUUCAGAUGUGAUUAAGGAUCUUGAAAUAAAGAAUUAUUCUGGAUUAUCCAGUGGGCUCAGUCUCAUCAGCUGGGUCUUCGAAAGUGGACUUUUUCUGAGUUGUGAUCAGAGGGAGAUGCAAGAAGGGCAAAGGGGAAAUGUAAUAUUUGCAGAUAGAGGAAGAGGGCCAGAGGUCAAGGAAUAUGGGCAGCCUCUAGAAGUUGAGAAAGACAAGGAAACAUUCUCUCUUAGACCCUCCCGAAAGAAAUACAGCUGUGCAACACCUUGAUUUCAGGUCAGUGAGAUCUGUGCCUAAUUUCUUAUCUAUGAAAUUGUAAGAUAAGUUUGUAGGAGUCCCUGUUGUGGCUCAGCGGUGAUUAAACCCGACUGUUACUAAUGAGGAUGCAGGUUCAGUCCCUGGCCUCACUCAGUGGGUUAAGCAUCCAGUGUUGCUAUGAGGGGCAGUGUAGGUUGCAGAGGCAGCUUGGAUUUGGCAUUGCUGAGGCUGCAGCUCCAAUUCAGCCCCUAGCCUGGGUACUUCCAUGGGUACAGGCCUAAAAAGACAAAAAAAAAUUUUUUCUUUGUGUUAUUUUAAGUCUCUAAGUUUAUGGCAAUUUGUUACUGCAAAAAUAGAAAACAUACAUACAAAGUCACUGCCUCAAGCCCUCUGCUGUCUGGGCCAUCCUGUCCUCCUUUUGAGACUCUCGAUUCAGUAACAAAAGGGUAGCCCCUGGCAUUGCAGAGUUCCCUGAGCAAUGGUCCAGCACAGCAGCCAACUUUAAUUCUGACUAGGCUACACCCAACUUAACCAGUUGUGAAAUAUUUUGAACAUUACUUUCAACUUCAGGGACCUAAGUCAGUGACUUUCAAACAUUUUUGACUCCAAGCCACCUACAGUAAGAUAUACAUUUUAAUUUCAAUAUAGAACACACACACAUUCCCCAGCACACAAAUUAUGUUACUGAAACUAAUGUUUUAUGAAAUAUUAUUUAGCUUUACAACAUGUUGCACUCUGAUAUUUUCAGUUCUAUUCUCUUGUAUUUUGUUAGUAUAAAUUUUAACACACUAAACUGAUUUCAUGAUUCCCUAGCAGGUUGCAACCUUCAACUGAAAAACACCUAAAAACAUGGCAACUCUAUGGUCAGGAUGUAGUUUCUGAUGGAGAAUAUAUUCUAUUUGUUUUUGGUUUUGUUUUUUGCCAUUUCUAGGGACGCUCCCGCAGCAUAUGGAGAUUCCCAGGCUAGGGGUCUAAUCGGAGCUGUAGCCACCCGCCUACACCAGAGCCAUAGCAAUUUGGUAUCCGAGCCACGUCUGCGACCUACACCACAGCUCACGGCAGCACCGGAUCUUUAACCCACAGAGCAAGGCCAGGGAUCGAACCGGCAACCUCAUGGUUCCUAGUCAGAUUCGUUAACCACUGUGCUGUGAUGGGAACUCCUCUAUUUGAUUUUUAAAGGAAGCAGAAUUUGUUCAGAAUUUAAGUAGUUUCCAUAUGUAACCUUAAUUCAUUGUUAUUACAUACUAUUUAUUGAUGUACUAAAAAUGUGUUUGUUUUCUCAAGGUGAACAUCAAACCCAUGACAGUUUGUAAAUUAAGCCUCACAGUAAAGAGAGGGACCACAACAAGAAGGGGGUACAUUUUAGAAACAGUUUUAAAAUGAAUGGAUACAGUCAUUAGGUACAUGUAUUUAGUGUUCUGCUUUUCUGUUGCUCAAUUUGUUCCUUUCUGCUUUUAUUUUUAAUAUUUCCCUUUUUUUGUUCCUGCCUUUAAGAUAGUACACAUUUCCUUUUCUAGAUUUUUAUGUUAAUUUAUUGCAUUUCUCUUUUUUUCUUAUUACUGUUUAUAGCUGCAGCAUCAUUUUAAGCACUUACACUUUUAGUAUUCCCUUAAUUUGAGGUCCUGGUGGAGUUCAAAUGUAAAUUUAAAAUUACACUUAAUAUUGACAGAACAUUGUAAAUCAACUAUAAUAAAAUUUUUUAAUAAAAUAAAAUUACAUUUAUUAUAACUAAGUUAGCUCUUCUAGGUGUUGGCAGCAAAAGUACUUGAUGAUUAUGAUACGUAUUAGUUAGCGUAUUAGUUAGCUUUCCACUAGGUUAUGUUGUGGAAUAAACCAUCCCACAAAUCCUAGUGGCUUACAACAUCCAUGGUUUAGUACACCUUCACUGCACCUGCUGGCUUCAGCUCUGUUCAGAAUCUUUAUUCCAGGAUGUAGACUGAAGGUCCAGCCUAGCCAGGACAGUAAAUAAUAGAAGACAAUGGUAGAAUCUAACCCCAUGUUAUCCCCCCGUAAUGCUGCAACCAGAAAGGCUUAUCCUUGCAUCUCUCAAUUCAAAACUCUAUUUUAUUAUUGGAUUAGAUCUGAGACUUACUAUUUUAGCAUUUAUGUUUCCAUUUCUAAAUGUAUCUUUAAUCAUGCUGAAAUACUGUUUGUCUCCCGUAAUGCUUUUUGCUAUAAAAUCAGCUAUACCAAUCAUGUUUUUACAGGCCACGCCAAGCUGUGCCUACUAUAAAUUAUAAUAAUAUUAAGAGAACAGUAUUUUUCUAGCUUAGCCUCCACCCACUGCAAUGCAAGAUCUCAUCUCUCAAAAUUCUAGAGGUAUCGCAUGUGCUUUAGCAAAGGAGUCUUAUGGUUCCCAAGAGGAUCCUUCUUGGUACUUCUCCAGCCUAGGUCCCUUGUCUGCUGAGAGAUGAACAAUGCUUCCUGCUACCUCCAGACAUCUAUGGAGCAUUGCUGCAUUGCACAUUUUACACCUUCAUAAUCUCAAGGGAUUUCACUCUUUUCUAAAUUAACAGCUUUGGCUGAAGUUCCUAGUUGCUGAGACACAAUUAGCUAGUGAAUAAUAUAAUUAAUACACUGUGCCAUACUCAAAAUUAUUCUGACAGCCAAACCUUAUAUUUCAGUAAAUUUGUUUUUCUCUCCCUCCCCCCUCCUUCUUCCUUCCCCUUCUCUAUCCUCCCUAUCUUUGGCACCCCCUCUCCCCUUCCCCUCUACCCAAGGCUCCUCUGCUGUUUAUGCUGGUAGAUCUUCUAAUAACCAGUCCCACCCUGGAAUCUCUGGGAAAUUGAUAAUUUCAACACAAGAUUUUUAUUGUGCUUCUAUAGGUAUUGUGAAUUGUAAGCCAUUCUCCUCGCUUUAUUAAAGUGUUAUUUUAAAACACGUUAUUGCAAUAAUCACACAGAAAAAAAAUAAUAAUGUAAUAGGGCUUGUAAUGAAACCAUAGUCUACUACCCCACCCGUUCCCAGCCCCAAUUCAAUCUCCCAGAAGGAAUCACUUUUAACUGUUCCUGUUUCAAGGCUUUUUAAUGGUUAUUCUCCUAAUUCUAAACAAUGAGCCUUUGCUGCUAUUUCUUGAUUUACUGGUAAAUGACUGUAUUAGGUGAGAAAAUUAGUUCCCCUCUUCUUCCAGCUCUUCUCCUCAGUCUUCCUCCUGAUUUCUGUACUUAUACCUUUACUUUCAAAUUAAAAGGUUGGCAUUUAUAUUUUCUCUAGUAACCAUAAUUAAGUUUUUUCCUGUCUAGUUCAUAGGGUGCUUCUAAAAAUUGAAAAAACUAUUAACAACCAUUGACAUAACUGUAAAUAUUGUUGAUAGGAAAAUUAGAUACUAGGAUUUCAUUUUCCUCUCUAUAGGAGCUCUGCAGAUCAUAUAAAAGACUGUUCAAAUUUAAGAUUACGAAGUCUCACUUGGCUGGUUUGAUUUUAUAUUUCCAUCUCUUUUCAUUCAUGCUGAAAAUCUUGGUUCCAAUGACAAUAAUAUAGCAGUCAGUAUUUAGAGGUCUGUGUUACUCUUACACCAAAAAGUUUUAUUUUUAAAAAUGUCAAACCUACAGAACAAGUUGAAAGAAAAGUAUAAUAAAUGCUUGUAUACUUUUUAUCUAAGAUUCACGAAUGGUUCAAUUUUUGCCACAUUUGCUUUCUCUUUUGUUUUUGCUGAGUCAUUUGGAAACAUGUUACAUUCAGCAUGACAGUUUACCACUUGCAUGUUUCUCCUAGAACAAAAACAUUUUUACAAAACCGCAAUAUCAUUUUUAGACCCAGGAAAUUUAAUGUUGAUUAUUAAAUAACUCAUAUCCAAAUUUCCCCAAAUAUCUCCCAAAAUAUCCUUUAUAGAUUUUCUUCUGUCCAGAAUUCAGUCAAGGCUCACUCAUUACACAUAACAGAAAUAUCUCUUUAGUCUCCUUUAUUGUCCUUUGGUUUUUGUUUGUCUUUCAUGGCACUGAUAUUUUUGAAGAGCUCAGGUAAUUGCUUUAUGGAAUGUCCUACAUUCUGCAUGUAUUUCACUGCUUCAUCGUGAUUAGAUGCAGGUUAAAUGUUGUUUCUAAGAACGUCAUAGGAGACGUGUGCCCUUCCCAUCACAUCACAUCAAAAGACCCAUGAUGCCAGUCUGUCUCACUGUUAAUGAUGCUAAGGAACAUUUGGCACAGAUGGUGUCAGGUAGAUUUCUCCAAUGUAAAGGUGCCAUCCCCAUUUGUAAUUAAUAGUCAGUGUGGUGAUUCUUUGAGACAAUAUAAAUAUCCUGUUUCCCAAUCACCUUUUACUCAAUAGUUUUAGCAUCCACUGUUGGCCCAUGCUUGAAUCAGUUACAAGCUUUAAAAUGGUGACUUUCUGGAGUUUCCACUGUGGCACAGUGGGAUUGGCAGUAUCUCUGUAGCACCAGGAUGCAGCCUCAACCGCCAGUCCAGUGUUGCCACAGGGUGGGAGGGCCAAAAAAGAAAAAAGAAAAAAAAAA
rnacentral:lncRNA from 1 species